GUCGAAGGUGGGGCUGAUGACUGGGGUGAAGUCGUAACAAGGUAGCCGUACCGGAAGGUGCGGCUGGAUCACCUCCUAACAGGGAGACAACACAAUGAUUUUGAUGCCUGAGUGCUUUUAUUCUUAGGCCGAAAUCCUGUCACCUUAGGUCGAUCGGUACCUCAGCUUUGAAGUCAAGGGUUAGCUGCAAUGUUGAUGCCUUGAUGGAAAUUUUCAGUUCCUAAACUUUGUCUAGGUCACACCCCAUAAGGGUUGAGUCUCCUGGGCCAUUAGCUCAGGUGGUUAGAGCGCACCCCUGAUAAGGGUGAGGUCCCUGGUUCAAGUCCAGGAUGGCCCAUUCGGUGUUGGGGGUUUAGCUCAGUUGGUAGAGCGCCUGCUUUGCAAGCAGGAUGUCAGGAGUUCGAGUCUCCUAACCUCCACUGACCGAACUUAAUCUCCAUCGUCCGGUUUUGGAGGAUGAACUCGAGUAUUUUUGGUGUGAUUUAGAUGUGUCCGCUGGAUGGAACCCAGCUUCCUGUCAUUCUAAAGACGACAUUUUUUUGUUUUUAGUUGAUAAGAUGCUGGGCUCGAACUGAGUAAUCAGUUCAGAGUUCUAGCAGAACCUUGACAACUGCAUAGGUGAGUCUGGAAAAACAAAGCAUCUUACAGAUGCAUUGUUUUGUAUCUGAUCUCUUGAAAGAGAGAUUGGAUCCAGAGCAAUGAAAAUUCUUUUGAGCAAGAGCCGAGACUCUUGAGCGUUCUUAAUCUCGUGUCGAGCGAGUUUGAGUUUGAUUUUGUCUUGUGUUUCAACGCAAGUUGAAGGGUAAGGCUUAAGAAUCUGCUUUCAACGGUGGUAAGCGUUCAAGAGAUUAAUUGGUCAAGCUACAAAG
rnacentral:misc_RNA from 1 species